AACGAGCUAGUGGAGAGAAGGAUUUUUAGCGACACUAAUUUUGUUUCAAACCAUUUAUAAGUUAUAGCAAGAAGGAUCUGCGCAUAUGUUUGCUCAUGUGGACUCACCAUUUAUUCAUUGUGAAACUAUGACGAAUCACCUGCACAUAUAAGUUAUGGACAUAAAAAAAAAGCCAAGGUAAGGAAAAAUGUAGGACACCUGCAACCUGACUACCUGGUGAUCCAUUUUCGAAGGAAUAUAC
rnacentral:lncRNA from 1 species